rnacentral:rRNA from 1 species
GACGAACGCUGGCGGCGUGCUUAACACAUGCAAGUCGAACGGAAAGGCCCUGCUUUUGUGGGGUGCUCGAGUGGCGAACGGGUGAGUAACACGGGAGUAACCUGCCCUUGACUUUGGGAUAACUUCAGGAAACUGGGGCUAAUACCGGAUAGGAGCUCCUGCUGCAUGGUGGGGGUUGGAAAGUUUCGGCGGUUGGGGAUGGACUCGCGGCUUAUCAGCUUGUUGGUGGGGUAGUGGCUUACCAAGGCUUUGACGGGUAGCCGGCCUGAGAGGGUGACCGGCCACAUUGGGACUGAGAUACGGCCCAGACUCCUACGGGAGGCAGCAGUGGGGAAUAGUGCACAAUGGGCGGAAGCCUGAUGCAGCAACGCCGCGUGCGGGAUGACGGCCUUCGGGUUGUAAACCGCUUUCGCCUGUGACGAAGCGUGAGUGACGGUAAUGGGUAAAGAAGCACCGGCUAACUACGUG